rnacentral:lncRNA from 1 species
UUCACAACUGCAAGGCAUAUAUGAAGCCAGAAAUUGAUAUAUUAAGGGAAGACAGAACACCUUAAGAACAAGGGUAUACUAGACUCCACAGACUCAACAGGCAUUCACCAAUGCAGUCAUCGUAUCACCACUUUCAAAUUUACAUAAAGAACACUACUGCAGAAGAACACUUGUAAUGCCACGCACCACGUGUGGAGGAUCAUUCUCUUUUACGGUCACUGAGUACAGCUUCUGGGAGAGCACAGGUGAGUUGUCAUUUACAUCUUCUACAGCAAUGCUUAGAGCUAGGCUUGCAGAUAGUGGUGGU